rnacentral:rRNA from 1 species
GCCAGACUCCUACGGGAGGCAGCAGUGAGGAAUAUUGGUCAAUGGGCGGGAGCCUGAACCAGCCAAGUCGCGUGAGGGAUGACGGCCCUAUGGGUUGUAAACCUCUUUUGCCGGGGAGCAAAGUGCCGCACGUGUGCGGUUUGGAGAGUACCCGGAGAAAAAGCAUCGGCUAACUCCGUGCCAGCAGCCGCGGUAAUACGUAUGGUGCAAGCGUUAUCCGGAAUGACUGGGUGUAAAGGGAGCGUAGACGGUUGUACAAGUCUGAUGUGAAAGCCCACGGCUCAACUGUGGGAGUGCAUUGGAAACUGUAGAACUAGAGUAUCGGAGAGGCAAGUGGAAUUCCUAGUGUAGCGGUGAAAUGCGUAGAUAUUAGGAGGAACACCAGUGGCGAAGGCGGCUUGCUGGACGAAAACUGACGUUGAGGCGCGAAAGCGUGGGGAGCAAACAGGAUUAGAUACCCCUGUAAC